ensembl:lncRNA
CUGUCCGUCUGUCUCUCUNNNNNNNNNNNNNNNNNNNNNNNNNNNNNNNNNNNNNNNNNNNNNNNNNNNNNNNNNNNNNNNNNNNNNNUCCGUCUGUCCCUCUGUCUGUCCGUCUGUCCCUCUGUCCGUCUGUCUCUCUGUCUGUCCCUCUGUCUGUCUGUCCCUCUGUCCGUCUGUCUCUCUGUCUGUCCGUCUGUCCCUCUGUCCGUCUGUCUCUCUGUCUGUCCCUCUGUCUGUCUGUCCCUCUGUCCGUGUCUCUGCCUGUCCGUCUGUCCCUCUGUCCGUCUGUCUCUCUGUCCGUCCGUCUGUCCCUCUGUCUGCCUGUCCCUCUGUCUGUCCCUCUGUCCGUCUGUCCCUCUGUCUGUCUGUCUGUCCCUCUGUCCCUCUGUCUCUCUGUCUGUCCCUCUGUCUGUCUGUCUCUCUGUCUGUCCAUCUGUCCCUCUGUCCAUCUGUCUCUCUGUCUGUCCGUCUGUCCCUCUGUCUGUACGUCUGUCCCUCUGUCUCUCUGUCUGUCCGUCUGUCCAUCUGUCCAUCUGUCUGUCUGUCUGUCCCUCUGUCCAGCGUGGCUCUCCUGCAGUCCCCACUGUGAGAAGGGCACACAGGCGGCAGUGGCUCAGGACCGUCUCCAGGGCUCUGCAGUCCGACACUCACUGUCACGGCUCCAGAGACAGACGCCACCAGGCUCGGGUCUGCAGGCACCUCGUUCAGCUGCACUUCUCCAGCCUGAUGGCUCCUCACCUCCUGCACGGGCAGCUCCCCAACAGCCCACGGAGCAAUCCCUGCAGGAAGCCCAGCGACGCUGCUCCCGGCAAGAGCGUGGGAUGCAGUGCUGGGUGACCAGGGGACCAGACUUGCCAGCAGUUACACCACAGAGGGCAGAUUCCCUCCCACCCUAAAACAGAAACCUUUGUUCAUUGGCAGCCCUGGAGGCACUGCCUGGCCUGGCCAAGGUCCAUGGGGUCCCACAGGGCGGAGGCCGACCUACACCCUGUGCAGAGCUCUGAGCAGCAUGGAAAAGAGAUGGCAUGGGAACAUCUGCCUACAGAUGCCUCACUACACUCCUCCCAGUACUCAUUUUUGAAGUGAGGAGGGUUAAUCAGCCUCAUUCCCAACAUACAGACAGCUCCUGCCAGUCCUUGCUCUCGUUGAAAGCUAAGUGCAAUGCAACAACCAGGCCAGAGCAAUCAGAUGAGGGAGAAGAGACCUAAAUAAUACUUCUCUCUGCUGUGGGGUGACUAUGUGGUCCCAGCCAUCCUGCUUACCCCUGACAUGCCUGCAUUUCCCUUCAGUGCUGCUGGGCAUGGUUCAGUGCAGGGAUGGCUUUGGCAGCUCUGCAGAAUGAAUAUCCAUCCAAACCUUGGAAUUCAGCUGAUAAACUCAGGCUGGUCCUUUCCCCAGUCUGGAUGCUGUCCAGCAGCAUUCCCUGCGGAAAUGCCUUAAUUAUUUUAUUUGCAUCUCUGUU